rnacentral:lncRNA from 1 species
ACUGAGAUAUGAGGAUGAGUGGGCAUUAACUCCAUGAAGAGGGAAGGGAAAAGCAUUGCAGACAGAGGGAACAGCAUGUGCAGAUGUUCUGUGAUGGGAGCUGUGUGGCCUCUGGCAAGUUUCGAAACCUCUCUGUGUUUCAACGUCCCCAUGUGGAAAGCAAGCAUAAGAAAACUGACCUCGCUGGCUGGUUGUGCCAAUUAUGUGCCUCAAAAGUGCCUGAGCAGUAGGCUGAGGCACCCCAUGGACGUCACAGAAGAAAAUUCUGGCCAAGACAGACAAUUUGGUGUUUGCUACAACGGAUGUAAUAUGUUUUUGCUGUUUGAGAAGAUUCAGGUCUGCCACAGAAAACAGGUAAACAAGUGGGCUGGAUGAACUUUGUCACUGAUAAGGAAGCCAGUACCGGGGUCGGGGAGAUGUUAGAUAAGGCAGCACAGAUGGGUGAACAAAGAUAAAAAGAGAUGGAAGGAGCAGGCGAUGCCUACUAUUCAUGAGGUCCUAAAUAUACAAGAGACACGAAAUAUUCAUGAGGCACUAAAUAUAUUCAAGGCACCUGAGGCACUACAUAUUCAUAAUCAACUAAAUAUACAUGAGGCAUACGAGGCACUCAAUAUUCAGCCACCCAUUGGUUACACUGUUCUGGCCCCAUGUGUCCAAGAAAUGCAAAUAACCGUGGCUGUUCCUCAGGCUAAUUGGAGACGGGCGGGGGCGGCUGUGGUUGGGCGUGCUGUCUCUGCAUCUCUCUGACUGAGCGUGAGCUCGUCAUUGGCCCCAGGCACCUUCCAGACUUCUGUGCACCUCAAACUUCAACUGCGGUCUCGUACCCACAGCCGUUCCCACAGCAUCCGCGGGGAAGGCAGAGGCAGCAGCGAGACAGAGCAUCGGCCAUCCCAGGAUUCAGGCAGCGUGGUCCUUCCGCCCCCUGGUACCCUGUGCUAAGUGUCUGCAUCUGCUCAGCUCCCUGUGUAUCUCUCUCUUUUCGGUGGCUUCACGACCCUGUGUGAUUCGAGCUCUUGCUCCUGGUUUGGCAGCCUUUCUUUCCUGUGAUCUCUGGGAUCGCUUGCCUGGAAGGGUACUGGGUUGCCCGUGGGAAGAGGCGAGUUCCCAUGUAACCGGUCCUGAGCUGGAACUCAGAGUGCGACAUAGGGGAAUGGCGCCAGCCUUUUUGCUUAUGGAUGGCUCCACCUCCUCCUCAGGCCUCCAGCGGUGUAUAGGUCUUUGCGGUCCCCGUUGGCUUCUCAGAAGCCUGUGUGGGCACCUCAGGAAGGAGCUGAUCCAGGCCUGGAGGAAACCACUGGCUGGGAUUCCACCUGGGAUGGAACAGCCGUUUAUUUGAGCUGAUGUGUGCGUUAAGCUCCCUCCGGAACGGACUGGCUGCUGGUGGCUGUUGUGGUUCAAGCCAUCAUUCCAAUCAUGCGUGACUUCAGAUCCGGGCUUCCCCCCAAUAAACCCCUCAAUGGC